UCGUUCUCUCCGAAAUAACUUUAGGGUUAGCGUUCGAAUAGUUGGCGACGGGGGUAGAGCGACUGAAAUCGAACGGAGGCCUACCCGGCUAUCCGUCGAUACCAAACUCCGAAUACCGUCGUACCAAGUUCGGGCAGCUAGACUGCGAGGGAUAAGCUUCGUAGUCGAGAGGGGAACAACCCAGACCACCCGCUAAGGUCCCCAAGUCAUGCUCAGUGCGAAAGGAAGUUGGAUUCCCCAGACAGCCAGGAUGUUGGCUUAGAAGCAGCCACCAUUUAAAAAGUGCGUAAUAGCUUACUGGUCGAGGGAUCCUGCGCCGAUAAUGAACGGGACUAAGCAUGGCACCGAAGCGGUGGGUUGGCGAAAGCCAGCGGUAGGAGAGCGUAGCCAUCGGGGCGAAGCAGGACGGAUGACGGCCUGUGGACUGAUGGUUAGUGAUUAUGUCGGAACGAGUAACGAUAAAACGGGUGAGAAUCCCGUUCGCCGCAAGCCUAAGGUUUCCUGGGGAAGGUAAAUCCGCCCAGGGUUAGUCGACCCCUUAGUCAAGGCCGAAAGGCGUAGACGAUGGAGAAGACGGUUAAUAUUCCGUCACCUUUUGCGUAGAUUCUGCGGACGUGACGCUGAACGAAUGGGGUACCCCCUGCUAGUCGCGGGGAACCGCAAGGUCCAGGCCGAUUAUGUUGCCGAAGUCCUCGGAAGUUCAGCCAAGAAAAGCCGUCCGUUGCGAAACAAAAGAUCGUACCAUAAACCGACACAGGUGGGCGAGAUGAAUAUUCUAAGGCGCUCGAGAGAAUGCUGGUGAAGGAACUCUGCAACAUGACUCCGUAACUUCGGGAUAAGGAGUGCCUCCGAGGGUGUAACAGCCUUUGGGGGUCGCAGUGAAAUGGGUCUAGCGACUGUUUACUAAAAACACAGGUCUGUGCGAACACGCAAGUGGAAGUAUACAGACUGACGCCUGCCCGGUGCUGGUAAGUCAAGGGAGGGGGUUAGCCGAAAGGUGAAGCUCACAACCAAAGCUCCAGUAAACGGCGGCCGUAACUAUGACGGUCCUAAGGUAGCGAAGUUCCUUGUCGGGUAAGUUCCGACCUGCAUGAAUGGCGUAACGACUGGACCACUGUCUCCACCAGCUACUCGGUGAAACUGUAGUCGUCGUGAAGAUGCGACGUACCCGUAGUUAGACGGAAAGACCCCGUGAACCUUAACUGUAGGAUAGUAUUGGGUUUAGACCCAACAUGCGUAGCGUAGCUGGGAGACUGCGAACCGGAGGUUUCGGCCUUCGGGGAGUCAUCGAUGAAACACCAGCCUUGUUGUGUUUGAAUUCUAACCCGUGUCACAACCACGCGGACAGUGCUAUCUGGGCAGUUUGAUUGGGGCGAUCUCCUCCCAAAAGGUAACGGAGGAGCGCAAUGGUACCCUCAGCCCGGUUGGCAAUCGGGCAUCGAGCGUAAACGUAAAAGGGUGCUUGACUGCGAGACCGAUAGGUCGAGCAGGGACGAAAGUCGGCGUUAGUGAUCCGGUGGUUUCCGAAUGGAAGGGCCAUCGCUCAACAGAUAAAAGGUACUCCGGGGAUAACAGGCUUAUCUCCUCUGAGCGUUCAUAGCGGCGAGGAGGUUUGGCACCUCGAUGUCGGCUCAUCGCAUCCUGGGGCUGGAGAAGGUCCCAAGGGUUUGGCUGUUCGCCAAUGAAAGCGGUACGUGAGCUGGGUUUAGACCGUCGUGAGACAGGUCGGUCCCUAUCUGCUACGGGCGCAAGAAACUUGAGAGGCUUCCUCCCUAGUACGAGAGGAUUGGGAGGGACGCACCGCUGGUGUUCCAGUUGUCACGCUAGUGGCAUCGCUGGGUAGCUACGUGCGGAAUGGAUAAACGCUGAAGGCAUAUAAGCGUGAAACUUCCCUCAAGAUAAGGUUUCUUUUCUAUGAUGAAGUCUGCCGAUCGAACAUCGGUUACAUAGGUCAGGUGUGUAAGGCCGGCAACGGUCUCAGCUAACUGAUCCUAACAGACGAUCGCUUGUCCA
rnacentral:rRNA from 1 species